UACAGAGGUCUCAAGCGUUGUUCGGAUUCAUUGGGCGUAAAGGGCGCGUAGGCGGCGCGGCAAGUCGGGUGUGAAAUCUCGGAGCUUAACUCCGAAACUGCAUUCGAUACUGCCGUGCUUGAGGACUGGAGAGGAGACUGGAAUUUACGAUGUAGCGGUGAAAUGCGUAGAUAUCGUAAGGAAGACCAGUGGCGAAGGCGGGUCUCUGGACAGUUCCUGACGCUGAGGCACGAAAGCUAGGGGAGCAAACAGG
rnacentral:rRNA from 1 species